rnacentral:rRNA from 1 species
GAUGAACGCUGGCUGCGUGCCUAAUACAUGCAAGUCGAGCGAACGGACGAGAAGCUUGCUUCUCUGAUGUUAGCGGCGGACGGGUGAGUAACACGUGGAUAACCUACCUAUAAGACUGGGAUAACUUCGGGAAACCGGAGCUAAUACCGGAUAAUAUUUUGAACCGCAUGGUUCAAAAGUGAAAGACGGUCUUGCUGUCACUUAUAGAUGGAUCCGCGCUGCAUUAGCUAGUUGGUAAGGUAACGGCUUACCAAGGCAACGAUGCAUAGCCGACCUGAGAGGGUGAUCGGCCACACUGGAACUGAGACACGGUCCAGACUCCUACGGGAGGCAGCAGUAGGGAAUCUUCCGCAAUGGGCGAAAGCCUGACGGAGCAACGCCGCGUGAGUGAUGAAGGUCUUCGGAUCGUAAAACUCUGUUAUUAGGGAAGAACAUAUGUGUAAGUAACUGUGCACAUCUUGACGGUACCUAAUCAGAAAGCCACGGCUAACUACGUGCCAGCAGCCGCGGUAAUACGUAGGUGGCAAGCGUUAUCCGGAAUUAUUGGGCGUAAAGCGCGCGUAGGCGGUUUUUUAAGUCUGAUGUGAAAGCCCACGGCUCAACCGUGGAGGGUCAUUGGAAACUGGAAAACUUGAGUGCAGAAGAGGAAAGUGGAAUUCCAUGUGUAGCGGUGAAAUGCGCAGAGAUAUGGAGGAACACCAGUGGCGAAGGCGACUUUCUGGUCUGUAACUGACGCUGAUGUGCGAAAGCGUGGGGAUCAAACAGGAUUAGAUACCCUGGUAGUCCACGCCGUAAACGAUGAGUGCUAAGUGUUAGGGGGUUUCCGCCCCUUAGUGCUGCAGCUAACGCAUUAAGCACUCCGCCUGGGGAGUACGACCGCAAGGUUGAAACUCAAAGGAAUUGACGGGGACCCGCACAAGCGGUGGAGCAUGUGGUUUAAUUCGAAGCAACGCGAAGAACCUUACCAAAUCUUGACAUCCUUUGACAACUCUAGAGAUAGAGCUUUCCCCUUCGGGGGACAAAGUGACAGGUGGUGCAUGGUUGUCGUCAGCUCGUGUCGUGAGAUGUUGGGUUAAGUCCCGCAACGAGCGCAACCCUUAAGCUUAGUUGCCAUCAUUAAGUUGGGCACUCUAAGUUGACUGCCGGUGACAAACCGGAGGAAGGUGGGGAUGACGUCAAAUCAUCAUGCCCCUUAUGAUUUGGGCCACACACGUGCUACAAUGGACAAUACAAAGGGCAGCGAAACCGCGAGGUCAAGCAAAUCCCAUAAAGUUGUUCUCAGUUCGGAUUGUAGUCUGCAACUCGACUACAUGAAGCUGGAAUCGCUAGUAAUCGUAGAUCAGCAUGCUACGGUGAAUACGUUCCCGGGUCU